AGGGGUAUAGCUCAACUGGUAGAGCGUCGGUCUCCAAAACCGAAGGCUGUGGGUUCGAUCCCUACUGCCCCUGCCA
rnacentral:tRNA from 1 species